UUUUAUUUGCUUGUCUGUCUGGGGCUGACCUUAAGAAGGGACGUAGCGGGAAUCUUGCCCACGCUAGGUGGCUCGGGACGAGGGCCUGGAGUCGCGCCCCUGCCUACCCACUACUCCGUGUUCCCUGCCCUUGCGGUGGAGCGUUGACUUUCGCGGGGCACAGGGACACCUCUGGGCCGAGCCGGGACCACCCUGUGCGCAGAAUACAGAAGGUCGAUGCGUCGCAGCAGAGUGAAUUGCACAUUACAGGAGACGSGACAGCGGUUCCCAGCUCCUCACCCUCCAGCCUCCGCAAGUCCCCGGGAAGACUGCGGUGACACUUCCGGUGUACUGUCCCGGCCUGGAGGCCCUCCCCGAGCUCUCACUUGGCUCUUCCUGGGUAAUAGCCCUUACUCAGCCGAUCACAGGCCGCGGUGCAGAUUCGUCAUUUACCGGUCUAUGCUUAUUCCGGUUAUUUGGAUACUCGGGAAAUAGCACAGCUUUGGACGACGUGCUGUGGAUGUGGACUAGCUCUAGCCUGGACAACCCGUGAACCACUCCAUUCUCCACCCCUUCUUGGACAUGUUUGACCCUGAGCCUUGGAACAGAAGGGGGCUCCCUUUCCAAGGCCGUCCUUCCUUGAGAGAUCCCCCUCCAUCUGUGGCACCCUUUAGAGUUCUCUUUACUUCUUCAUAGUUGCCUCCCAUCAGCUUAACAAAUCUUUAUGUUAUACCUCCCUCAUUGUGUGGUUUGUCUCCUGAAUGGACCUAGACUGAUAUGAGAUUAAACAUUAA